UACGGAAGGCAGCAGUAGGGAAUCUUCCGCAAUGGACGAAAGUCUGACGGAGCAACGCCGCGUGAACGAUGAAGGCUUUCGGGUCGUAAAGUUCUGUUGUUAGGGAAGAACAAGUACCGGAGUAACUGCCGGUACCUUGACGGUACCUAACCAGAAAGCCACGGCUAACUACGUGCCAGCAGCCGCGGUAAUACGUAGGUGGCAAGCGUUGUCCGGAAUUAUUGGGCGUAAAGCGCGCGCAGGCGGUCCUUUAAGUCUGAUGUGAAAGCCCACGGCUCAACCGUGGAGGGUCAUUGGAAACUGGGGGACUUGAGUGCAGAAGAGGAGAGUGGAAUUCCACGUGUAGCGGUGAAAUGCGUAGAGAUGUGGAGGAACACCAGUGGCGAAGGCGACUCUCUGGUCUGUAACUGACGCUGAGCGCGAAAGCGUGGGGAGCGAACAGGGAUUAGAUACC
rnacentral:rRNA from 1 species